rnacentral:lncRNA from 1 species
GAGGGCGACAUUGGUGGCGUCGUCCUCUGCCCCCUUCCCCGGGGGCGAGAUGUCGGGGCUCAGCCACUUAGAGUCGGAAGGCUGCCGGAACCUACUCGGCAUGCUGGACAAUGACGAGAUCAUGGCCCUUUGCGACACCGUCACCAACCGCCUGGUGCAGCCUGUGGACCGCCAAGCAGGCAAAGGAAGAUAAAGAAGCUGAAAAGGUUGAUUUUCGUCGCUUAGGAGAAGAAUUUUGUCACUGGUUCUUUGAACUUCUUAAUUCUCAGAAUCCUUUUUUGGGACCACCUCAGGAUGAAUGGGGCCCACAGCACUUCUGGCAUGAUGUGAAGCUUAGGUUUUAUUAUAACACCUCAGAACAAAACAUGACAGACUACGAAGGAGCAGAAAUGGUGAGCCUUCGUUUACUGUCAUUGGUGAAAGAGGAAUUUCUUUUUCUCAGUCCCAACCUUGAUUCUCAAGGACUAAAAUGUGCGUCUUCUCCUCAUGGACUAGUUAUGGUUGGAGUUGCAGGGACUGUCCACCGCGGAAAUUCUUGUUUGGGCAUAUUUGAACAAAUUUUUGGACUUAUCCGUAGCCCUUUUGUAGAAAAUACUUGGAAAAUCAAAUUUAUUAACCUGAGAAUCGUUGGAGGAAGUUCCCUUGCUCCUGGAUCAUCGCUGAAACCAUCUGUAACAUUUGAACAGAGUGAUUUCG